AGGGAGAAGAAGCUGCUGGGGAAGAGAGCUGGAAGUGAAAAAGCUGAAAGUAAAGAAGCUGCUGCCUGAACCCGCCUUGGUGUCCUUGUCGUUCUUGUCUCUGUGAGUCGGAGACUGUGGCAAGUGGUGGCCCUUACGGGGAACUCAUCGCAUUGGUCGGCAAUGCUUCCAGUUUUUACUAGAAGCCCAUCAGAUCCAUGAUCUCUGGAAACCCUAGAGACCGAGAGCACAAGCAAAUCCUAGAAGGAAAGGCAGGAAGCUCAGGAUGCCUGGAUGCUUCUUCUCCACUCAGCAUUUUAACCAGAAAGUAAUGUCCUCUGCCUCUUUAAGGUAAACUGAUGAGGUGGCCAACAUGAAGGUAAUGAUCUUGCAUCAUCACAGUCCAGACUUUCACUUUUAAAUCAUCCAUCUCUAUGAAGAGGAGCCUCAUCAGCACCCUUGCCCAUCUAUGCACUGGUGCUCGAACUGAACCACACAUUUGCUGAAAAUUCAAUCUACGUCUCAAAGAAAUAAAGCAGAGAAGUGAACAAGCCUUUGUUACCACUGUGACCUACAGAGGUGUGAACGAUGUUCUUAGAAGACCUCUUAGACCAAGUGUUGGUGAAGAAGAGAAAGGAAAAAUGUAGGUCAAGGGAAUUCCAGAAAUUUCACGGUAAAAAAGUAUCAUUCAAAAAUUCUAGUUUUAAUAAAAAUCCUCCUUUUCUUUUUAUUACGUAGUUAGUACACAAUGCUGUGCUCUAGAGCAGUGCUGAAGUGAGAAUAAAAUAAGAAUCCUCAACGUACUCUUUUCUUCCUAAUAAAGGCAGCCUCCAGCCUACAAACAUUACAAACAUCCAUUUGUUAGGUGCUCAUGUGGGAUCUGAAAUGCCUUUCCUCAAAGAAUCAAUGCUGUAAAUCAUUGUUUGGUUUUAAGGCUGGCCCUUGUAAGCCUACUUAAAGAAUAAUGUUUCUCAGCUAUCCAACUAUAGACUUCUGGGGACUAGCAAUGGUGAUCUAUGAAGCUGAGCCCUGGGAUGAGGAUCUCAUUUUGAGUGGGAUGCACGAGGAGCAAAGGGCAUUUUCACCUUUAUUCCUCCGUGUAAUGUAGCUCAGGUUAUGGAACCAUAUGUUUUUCAUUAAAAAGUGGCUCACAUGAUUCAACAAAGGUGUUUUUUUCUAAUGAGAAAUAAAAUAAGAAAUAAAAGAAUCCCCCCAGAAUAUCCUAUGUUUGUUAUCAGAACCCUCCAAGUAAAUCCAGCAGGUUUGUUUGCUAUUUAAUCACAACAUUUUCAGGAAAUAUAUGACUGUUCCUUUGUUUUAAUUGAAAAACUCAUCUAGAAGUGGAAAAUUCCUGGAGACUGGUAUAAUUGGGAGAGAGAGAGAGAGAGAGAGAGAGAGAGAGAGAGAGAGAGAGAGAGAGAGAGAAGCAAAGGGGGAAGAAGGGAAGGUUUUUAUGUGAAAACAGGGCCCUCUGGCAGGGUAGAGAGGGAGUUGAGAGGGGUCAGAUGCAAAAGCAGAUUAAGGAGAUAGACUAGGUUAAGAUAAGAAUGAAGAAGCAAUCAAAGAAAAGGAGCCAGGUCAUUUCUGUCUAUGUGUUCUUGUUCUGUGCAGCUCCCACUUUUCUACACUUUAGACUUUAUAGAGUCCCCAAAAGGCAGUAAAGUUUUAACAAUGUGAUCAUGAGAGUGACAAUAUUUAUUGAGGUGGGGGCAUUACUGACAGCUCAUAAAUAUGCCAGGUUCUACACCACAGUUGUUUCUCCUCUGUUUCAUUUUAUCUUCAAAUAGCAAUCUUAUGAGAAGAUAUUGCUUCUUAUAAAUGUAGGAAUGAAGUCACAAAGCAAAGUGACUUUCUCAAAGGAGCAGGUAAGUGAUGAUGAAACAUGUUUUAUGGCAUUAGAACAGGUUUCUAACAGGUUUCUUUCCCUCAUUGUUUGUGCACCCACAAACUUUGUUUCAAUGUAAUUCAAUUCAUUUACUCAGUAAGUUAAAAGGCUCCAUGAAAGUUGCUACUAUAUGCUGGAUACUAUCUUAGAGACUAUUAAUUGAGCUAGCCUUUGCCUUUCAGAAUCUUUUGCUUGGUUGCCAUCUUGGGAAAGAAUCAUAUAAGCAAAUAGGAAUAGAUUAGUCUUUUCUUAUAAGUUAAGGAGACCUGUGUUUCUAAAAUAGUUACACACAGCUGUUGUUGGGGUAUUGAAAGGUGAGUAAACUCUGUCACUACCAAUAAGUCCUCUGUAACUGUAGGCAGAGCCACAGGAUGGAAGGUUUGUCCCGAGUGUCUUUUAUAAACAGACAUUGAAACCCAAAUUCUAAACAUUCCUUUUCCCAAUUAGUAGUACCUUGACUGUGGGCUGCUAAUUUAACUUCAUGGUUUUGUGUAUUUAAUGUAAAAAUUAGAGAUAGUCUAUGCCUAUACAAAUAACAAUGCAACCUGGGUCCAUUUUUAUCAUGCACACUUAAUAUAUCUGACCUAAUAUUAUUAUUAUACUUAUUCUCUACAGGCACAUCUAUUCCAUAUCUGAAUACAAGAUAAUGAAUGCAUGCCCUAGUAUUUUCAUUCUGUUAUUCAUAAAAAUAUCACUUCCCUUGUAUGUUGUAUUUUCCAAGAAUUGUAAAAAUUUUCAACAUUCAUUCAGGUGAUCCCUAUGACGAAUGACCAAACAGACCAACAGAAAGUCAGAUGAUACACAAACCUUCUACCACUCACUUAGCAAUUUUUCGGUGACAACAGAAAAAAAAAAAAAAAAGAAAGCAAAACUCAUGAUGUCCGUGUGAUUCUAAGUGGCUAGUUAUACUUUUGGUUCAACUGGGAGAGCAUACGGAAAGAAGAGAUUUGGUAAUACAUGAACACACACAUACCACUUGGUGGUACUCGGGCUUAUAAUUCUAACUACUCAAGAGGCUGCAACAGGAAGACUGACUGUCCAAGACCACACUUGAUCCUCUGGGCUCCUCCAGAAGGCUGGCUUCACUUCUCCAGUCCUGCCCUCUGUAGCACUGUAAGCUCAGAUGGAUCCACUCCACUGACUGCUACUGCCAGUAUCAUCCCAUGGUACUGGCUUCUCUAAUGCACUGGGAUCUUCCACUGCAACUAGGCUUCACCAAUAGCCUCUCAUAGGCUCUCUUCAUGUACCAAGCCAAAAACACUUUGCAUGACCUCUGCAGUCUUGGGCCAUCAACUACAACUAAGGCUAUACCUUUACCAUUAGCCUUCCAUUGCUUCUCACAGUGCCAAGACUCAGCUGCUCUUCAUGAUCCUUCAUGCCUUCAAAACCAGUACC